AUAUUUAACUAGGGGUGCCACUUUCGGCUGAGAGAUGGAUUGUACCAUUAACCCUUUGAACCUGAAGUAGUUAGAACUACCGUAGGAAAGUUAUUUUCUUUUAGA
rnacentral:ncRNA from 2 species